rnacentral:tRNA from 1 species
UCCUCGUUCGUCUAGUGGCUAAGAUAUAUCGCUCUCAUUCGCAGGGCGUUCCGAUAAGACCCGGGUUCGAUUCCCGGACGGGGAA